rnacentral:rRNA from 1 species
GACGAACGCUGGCGGCGUGCCUAAUACAUGCAAGUCGAACGCUUCUUUCCUCCCGAGUGCUUGCACUCAAUUGGAAAGAGGAGUGGCGGACGGGUGAGUAACACGUGGGUAACCUACCCAUCAGAGGGGGAUAACACUUGGAAACAGGUGCUAAUACCGCAUAACAGUUUAUGCCGCAUGGCAUAAGAGUGAAAGGCGCUUUCGGGUGUCGCUGAUGGAUGGACCCGCGGUGCAUUAGCUAGUUGGUGAGGUAACGGCUCACCAAGGCCACGAUGCAUAGCCGACCUGAGAGGGUGAUCGGCCACACUGGGACUGAGACACGGCCCAGACUCCUACGGGAGGCAGCAGUAGGGAAUCUUCGGCAAUGGACGAAAGUCUGACCGAGCAACGCCGCGUGAGUGAAGAAGGUUUUCGGAUCGUAAAACUCUGUUGUUAGAGAAGAACAAGGACGUUAGUA